UACGAACCGUGCAAACGUUGUUCGGAUUCACUGGGCUUAAAGGGCGCGUAGGCGGGCGGUCAAGUCAGGGGUGAAAGCCUCCAGCUCAACUGGAGAAGUGCCUCUGAUACUGAUCGUCUUGAGGGAGGUAGGGGCAUGUGGAACUCAGGGUGGAGCGGUGAAAUGCGUAGAUAUCCUGAGGAACGCCGGUGGCGAAAGCGACGUGCUGGACCUCUUCUGACGCUGAGGCGCGAAAGCCAGGGGAGCAAACGGG
rnacentral:rRNA from 1 species